UUGUGUUAUGCUCGUCAGAGCAAAAAUAUAAACUAGCCUUUGUAUUUUGCUAUCUGUAACCCCCCUUUGCGUAACUUUCUGGACUACAAUGCUGGGCUGCAGGAAAGCGGCAGUGCUGUCUUGCUCCCGUGGUUUUUGUUGGGAGAGGCAGCCCGGCCAGUCGAAAUGAUUAGCUUGCUUUAAUUCGACUUUAAUUGGAAUCAGUGGUCUUUUCUUUGCGUCCUGGUCUAACACUAAGGCUGGCUUUGAAUUCUCAAUCCUCUUGCCUCAGUCUCCCAAGAUAGGGGUUUUGAUCUACAAUAAUGAAUGUGCUUUAUAAUAUUUUUUCCAGCAUAUUGCAAAAAAUGAUUGAAUCUCUUUAAAUCUAAAACAUUACUCUUUAGGUCAAAGUUUUAGAUGCCUGGCCCCCUCCCAGCCCCUCUGGCCCCUGAAUGUGAACCUCACACUGCCUGGGUCUAACCUACAGCUCUCCAGACAUAGGCUCCAGACGUGCCCCGGGGCCUGUAGAGCCUUAUGUGCUACAGGAACAGGUCAGCUAGUCAUGGCCUGUCCUCCUGGGAGGUUAGGGUACAGUAUUUCCUCCUCUCAGUUCGAGGCCUGAGGGCCUUACUGUGUAGGCUGGACAUCUUUGGCAUUGGGCAGAAACGUGCCAUCAGCCUCAGGCACCCCGUAGCUGUCACGGUGGGGCUUAACCACAG
rnacentral:lncRNA from 1 species